ACAUUGUUGUAGUGUCCCAUACUAGGACGAAACGGCCGUCCAGUGU
rnacentral:hammerhead_ribozyme from 1 species